GAUGAACGCUGGCGGCGUGCCUAACACAUGCAAGUCGAGCGAACAGACGAGGAGCUUGCUCCUCUGACGUUAGCGGCGGACGGGUGAGUAACACGUGGAUAACCUACCUAUAAGACUGGGAUAACUUCGGGAAACAGGAGCUAAUACCGGAUAAUAUAUUGAACUGCAUGGUUCAAUAGUGAAAGACGGUUUUGCUGUCACUUAUAGAUGGCUCCGCGCCGCAUUAGCUAGUUGGUAAGGUAACGGCUUACCAAGGCAACGAUGCGUAGCCGACCUGAGAGGGUGAUCGGCCACACUGGAACUGAGACACGGUCCAGACUCCUACGGGAGGCAGCAGUAGGGAAUCUUCCGCAAUGGGCGAAAGCCUGACGGAGCAACGCCGCGUGAGUGAUGAAGGUCUUCGGAUCGUAAAACUCUGUUAUUAGGGAAGAACAAAUGUGUAAGUAACUAUGCACGUCUUGACGGUACCUAAUCAAAAAGCCACGGCUAACUACGUG
rnacentral:rRNA from 1 species